AUUGAACGCUGGCGGCAGGCCUAACACAUGCAAGUCGAGCGAGCGGCGGACGGGUGAGUAAUGUAUGGGGCCUUCCCGAUAGAGGGGGAUAACUACUGGAAACGGUAGCUAAUACCGCAUACUAUCGGAUAACCCAUAUGGGAUUCGCUAGUUGGUGAUGUAAUGGCUCACCAAGGCGACGAGCCCUCGCUGGUCUGAGCGGAUGAUCAGCAAAACGGGGACUGAGAAACGGCCCAGACUCGUACGGAGGCAGCAGUGGGGAAGAUUGCACAAUGGGCGCAAGCCUGAUGCAGCCAUGCCGCGUGUAUGAAGAAGGCCUUCGGGUUGUAAAGAUCUUUCGGUAGCGAGGCGUUAACUACAGAAGAAGCACCGGCUAACUCCGUGCCAGCAGCCGCGGUAAUUC
rnacentral:rRNA from 1 species